rnacentral:rRNA from 1 species
AAAAGUAAGCAAGGGCGCAUGGCGGAUGCCUUGGCUCUCGGAGGCGAUGAAGGACGUGAUAAGCUGCGAUAAGCUUCGGGUAGGUGCAAAUAACCUUUGAUCCGGAGAUUUCCGAAUGGGACAACCCGGUCAGUUGAAGACUGAUCAUUCCGCAUAGCGGAAGGCUAACGCAGGGAACUGAAACAUCUUAGUACCUGUAGGAAAAGAAAAUAAAUAAUGAUUCCCCUAGUAGUGGCGAGCGAACGGGGAAUAGCCCAAACCAUUUAUGUUACGGCAUAACUGGGGUUGUAGGACCACGUUGUGGCAUGAAAGUUGGUGAGCAGAAUGUUCUGGAAAGUACAGCCAUAGAGCAUGAUAGCUGCGUAUGCGAAGCCAACCUAAGCCUAGUGGUAUCCUGAGUAGCGCGGAGCACGAGGAAUUCUGCGUGAAUCUGCCGGGACCAUCCGGUAAGGCUAAAUACUCCCGAGAGACCGAUAGUGAACCAGUACUGUGAAGGAAAGGUGAAAAGCACUUCGAACAGAAGAGUGAAAUAGUUCCUGAAACCAUGCGCCUACAAGCGGUCGGAGCCCUUUUGGGUGACGGCGUGCCUUUUGCAUAAUGAACCUACGAGUUACUUUUUCCGGCAAGGUUAAGAAUCUCAGAUUUGCAGCCGAAGCGAAAGCGAGUCUUAAUAGGGCGUAUAGUCGGAAGGAGUAGACGCGAAACCAAGUGAUCUACCCUUGAGCAGGUUGAAGGAUGGGUAACACCAUCUGGAGGACCGAACCAAUAAGCGUUGAAAAGCUUCUGGAUGACUUGAGGGUGGGGGUGAAAGGCUAAUCAAACUUGGAGAUAGCUCGUACUCCCCGAAAUGCAUUUAGGUGCAGCCUUGACUUAUACUGACAUGAGGUAGAGCGACUGAUAAGAUGCGAGGGCUUCACCGCCUAUCAAGUCUUGACAAACUCCGAAUGCGUGUCAGUUCUAUGUCAGGAGUGAGGGCAUGGGUGCUAAGGUCCAUGUCCUAAAGGAGAACAAUCCGGACCAACAGCUAAGGUCCCGAAAUGAAUACUAAGUUGAACUAACGAAGUCAGAUUGCUAAGACAGCUAGGAUGUUGGCUUGGAAGCAGCCAUUCAUUUAAAGAGUGCGUAACAGCUCACUAGUCGAGGAGUUUGGCGUGGAUAAUAAUCGGGCAUUAAGUAUUCUACCGAAGCUUUGGGAUGAGUAAUCAUCGGUAGGGGAGCAUUCCACUCAGCGUUGAAGGUGAAGCGUGAGCUUUGCUGGAGCGUGUGGAAAAGCAAAUGUAGGUAUAAGUAACGAUAAAGGGGGUGGGAAACCCCCUCGCCGAAAGACUAAGGUUUCCUGAUCAACGCUAAUCGGAUCAGGGUUAGUCGGGUCCUAAGGCUCAGCCGAACGGCGAGGCCGAUGGCAGAACCGGUUAAUAUUCCGGUACUACCUUCAGGAGUGACGUGGAGACGGAGCAGUGAUAAUGCCGCCGACUGACGGAAUAGUCGGUUAAAGGGUGUAGAUGUUGAUUUCUGUAGGCAAAUCCGCAGAGAGAGUCGAACCUGACAGUACGGAGCGUUCUUCGAACAAUCCGAUAGUGCAUGUAAGCAUACUCCCGAGAAAAUCCGCUAAACUUAAUCCUGACGGUACCCGUACCGUAAACGGACACACGUAGUCGGGUUGAAUAUACUAAGGCGCUUGAGUGAUUCACGGUUAAGGAACUAGGCAAACUGACCCUGUAACUUCGGGAUAAAGGGUCCUCAGGGUAACUUGAGGCGCAGAGAAUAGGUCCAGGCAACUGUUUAACAAAAACACAGGGCUGUGCAAAAUAGAAAUAUGAAGUAUACAGCCUGACACCUGCCCGGUGCUGGAAGGUUAAGAGGAGAUGUCAUCGCAAGAGAAGCAUUGAAUUGAAGCCCCAGUAAACGGCGGCCGUAACUAUAACGGUCCUAAGGUAGCGAAAUUCCUUGUCGGGUAAGUUCCGACCUGCACGAAUGGUGUAAUGAUCUGGACGCUGUCUCAACCGUGAGCUCAGUGAAAUUGUAGUAUCGGUGAAGAUGCCGAUUACCCGCGAUGGGACGAAAAGACCCCGUGAACCUUUACUAUAGCUUAACAUUGAAUUUGGGUAAUUGAUGUGUAGGAUAGGCCGGAGGCUUUGAAGCAGGUACGCCAGUAUUUGUGGAGUCGCUGUUGAAAUACGGCCCUUUGAUUAUUUGAGUUCUAAC